AUGGCCCCUCGGGCAUCGCUGGGAGCCCAGCCCUGCCCCCUGCCCAUCUCUCAGAAGCAUCUGUGGGUACGGGGCCCAAGGGCAGGAGCCACGGCUGAGGUCGGGGGCCAUCACCCCUGGAAAGUGUUGCCUGCCGAGCAGGGCCGCCUUGCUGUUUCCUCUCUCCCUCCAGGCCCUCCGCAGUGGACAGGGCCACAGACGGCGGAACUUCCCAGUUUAUUUCAAAAACGCCGGCAGCCGGUCCCUCCCUUCCUCCCGUUUGUGGCUGUUUGUUUGAACUUGAGACUUCCUGAGCCUGGAAGGUGUUUUUGGCCUAAGCAGCUCCCUGCCCUGGCAGUGUGCACACCGCCCCGUGCGGAAGGAAGCGUGCAGGACCUGCUGGCAGAUGGGGGCGCACCCGUCCCCACACUGCCUGGCUCUUCACGGGUGCCGUGGCCUGCGCGUGACCUGGGCUGCAGGACACUGGGGACCUGGGCCCGGGGUGAGACCACAGAGCCUCUUUCUUUCUGGUGACUCGGCCAAGCCCAAGGUCACUGGGGACGUCACGCCUGGUGCUUCCUGCAGGUCGCUGGAGCCUGCCCGGCGCCGCGCAGCUGCAGGGAAGCUGAGGCCUUGGUCACCCUGUGCGUGACCGUCCUGAAGAGUUGGAGCUGCCUCUGCUUCUCAGUGACCCCUGAGGGAGACCUGAUGGCUGAGAAGGGAGCAUCUUGGGGGGCCGCACGUCGGCUCUGGUCCCUGACGCGGAGGCGCCGGGGAGCAGCGGGGCGCCUGGAGCCAGGUGAGGUGCAGGGCAGGGUCGUGCGUGCCCUGGGGUGGGCUUCUGUCACAUGUGAGGAGCUGUGAGCCUCUCAGGACUCCUCAAGCAGGGGUGGGCGUCGGGCGUCUUGGCACCGGCUGGCCGGGCCCAGGGCAGCCGGCUCAUUUCUGGUCUGCGUGUGUCCCCUUUCUGACCUGUCGGAGUGGCCGUCACUGUGAGGGUCGUAGGGAGGAAGCGCGUGCACAUCCGAGGGGACUCCCAGCCCGGGCCUGUCCCCAUGAAGGGUGGGGCAGCUGUCAUCCCUGGGGUCCCCAGUGGCUCUGUCUUCACUGCCUCAGCCCCCUGAUGAGGUUUCUCUUUUGGAGCCACCCAUUGCGCUCAGUGGGAUGCGCGAUUUAAAUUCUCACAACUCAGAAUAACAUUUUACAAAUUAACUUCCAAAGGAGCAAGGAUAUCAGGAGCCGGGUCAGGGAAGGGAGCCUGUGGCUGGCUUCUGUCCCCUGCCAGGAGCUGUGCCUGGAGCUCCCCUCCAGGGACCUGGACUCUGGGUUUGGCUGGGGAGCUUGGGGCGGUGGCACCCUCUGACCUCAGGCGUUGCAGGGUGUGCAGGUGCGUAGAUGCUUACAGUACGCUGACCCUAGAAAUAGGGGCCAGCCCCACACCUGCCUUAGGCCACUCGUCGCUGUGGUUUGGG
rnacentral:lncRNA from 1 species